UGUCUUUAUAUAAUAAAGCAGUGAAGGAUUAAUCCACACUGCCGAUGCCUGUGAACUAGAUUUGUUGUGAUUAAUUAUUCAACAAUUUGAAAUUGUUUUUACAGCACUUCACCUCAAAGCUGUACAGUCACCCUGAACAUUGUUAUCUGUUUGAACACAAACAAAUUCUACCAUUCUACUGUGGCCAUGUGGUAGGCUUCGUGAUAGAUGUUCGAAAAGUAUUCUUUAGUCUAAUACACAUAAUGACCUUCCUAUAAAAGCAUGUUGUUUAAUUAGAGGACUGUGGGCAUAAAUCCUUCACGUGAUUUAUAUGGCAUAAAUAUAGAUCUCUGACACUCAGAAAGCUAAAACCCUUCAAGAGAACACCUCCAGCUCUUGCAGAUUAAGACAUGUUUUAGACAGAAUCUCAGAGAACUCAGCAUGAUUGGAGUUGCAGUUCACAGAGGAGAGAUUGCCAGAGGGACUCGUUCAGAGCCUUGGUAAACAUUGUACAUUAAUAAUCAUAAGUACAAGCUGUUUUACAUUCAUUGUGUUUUAAUAAAAUCUUUACUUAAUAAUAAUGAUGGAAAAUGUAUUAACGUUUGAGAAGUGACCAGUAAAGGACUGAAUUUGUAUAGCAAAAUGGCACUACCCCACUCUGCCCACAAGAGCUCACAAUCUAAUUUUUUUUUUCUCAUUUGAAAAAGUUUUUAUUCAGUUUUUCAAAUAUUUUUCAUUUUCAAUAGUAUGGUUACUUGACAGGCUGCAACGUGGCAAGUUAC